AAGAUACUAGUAAAAACAUUAUACUAUCUUGUCAGGACAGAGUUGUAAGUUCAACCCUUACGUAUCUUA
rnacentral:tRNA from 1 species